rnacentral:rRNA from 1 species
AACGAACGCUGGCGGCAUGCCUAACACAUGCAAGUCGAACGAGACCUUCGGGUCUAGUGGCGCACGGGUGCGUAACACGUGGGAAUCUGCCCUUUGCUUCGGAAUAACAGUUAGAAAUGACUGCUAAUACCGGAUGAUGUCGAAAGACCAAAGAUUUAUUGGCAAAGGAUGAGCCCGCGUAGGAUUAGGUAGUUGGUGGGGUAAAGGCCUACCAAGCCGACGAUCCUUAGCUGGUCUGAGAGGAUGAUCAGCCACACUGGGACUGAGACACGGCCCAGACUCCUACGGGAGGCAGCAGUGGGGAAUAUUGGACAAUGGGCGAAAGCCUGAUCCAGCAAUGCCGCGUGAGUGAUGAAGGCCUUAGGGUUGUAAAGCUCUUUUACCAGGGAUGAUAAUGACAGUACCUGGAGAAUAAGCUCCGGCUAACUCCGUG